rnacentral:snoRNA from 1 species
CCCCUCUCAGGAUGGCACCUGGAGAGUUUCCAGUCCUCUGCCAGUCUCGGCUACGGGAGGGAGAGUCAAGCAGAGGCCUGUCCUUCCAUUCCUAGCUUGGGCAGUGGCUAGCGAGUGGAAGGCCACCUGCCACAAAU